UACGAAGGGUGCAAGCGUUACUCGGAAUUACUGGGCGUAAAGCGCACGUAGUCGGCUUUGCAAGUCGGGUGUGAAAUCCCCGGGCUCAACCUGGGAACUGCAUCCGAAACUGCUUUGCUAGAGUAUGGGAGAGGGAAGUGGAAUUUCCGGUGUAGCGGUGAAAUGCGUAGAUAUCGGAAGGAACAUCAGUGGCGAAGGCGACUUCCUGGACCAAUACUGACGCUCAGGUGCGAAAGCGUGGGGAGCAAACAGG
rnacentral:rRNA from 1 species